rnacentral:rRNA from 1 species
AGUGAACGCUGGCGGUAGGCCUAACACAUGCAAGUCGAACGGCAGCACAGUAAGAGCUUGCUCUUACGGGUGGCGAGUGGCGGACGGGUGAGGAAUACAUCGGAAUCUACUUUUUCGUGGGGGAUAACGUAGGGAAACUUACGCUAAUACCGCAUACGACCUACGGGUGAAAGCAGGGGAUCUUCGGACCUUGCGCGAUUGAAUGAGCCGAUGUCGGAUUAGCUAGUUGGCGGGGUAAAGGCCCACCAAGGCGACGAUCCGUAGCUGGUCUGAGAGGAUGAUCAGCCACACUGGAACUGAGACACGGUCCAGACUCCUACGGGAGGCAGCAGUGGGGAAUAUUGGACAAUAGGCGCAAGCAUGAUCCAGCCAUACCGCGUGGGUGAAGAAGGUCUUCGGGUUGUAAAGCCCUUUUGUUGGGAAAGAAAAGCAGCAGGUUAAUACCCCGCUGUUCUGACGGUACCCAAAGAAUAAGCACCGGCUAACUUCGUG